rnacentral:misc_RNA from 2 species
UGUGUUGCUUACCUGUUGAAAGGAAUUUCAUUGUUUGGAUGAUCCUUUCCAUUCGAUGCCCUUCGUGGGUGUGGGUGGACAUUAGGCAGUCCCUGUGUUCCUGGCAUGCCUGCCUUCGCUGCAUGGAAUGCUGUGGCGCACGGGGUUAUUGCUUGUUCUCUCGGAUGCGGAAUGCGAUGUUUGGGUGCGGGGUUUCGGCCUCCGCUUGCCUAAAAAAUCCAUUUGUCCCUUCGCUUGAACGACUGCCAUGCCCGUGUUGACCCUGCGAUCGUUUUGGUUGAUAGGGGUCAUGCGGGGCUUUGGUGUCGCCAAGGAAUGCUACCUGGUUGAUCCUGCCAGUAGUCAU